AAGCAUAGAAUGAAUAACUCAGAUUCCCCUUCAAGACGUCAAAAUGGAUGAUGCAAGUUCAAGUUUUGGAUGCG